GAAGCGAUAUUUUGGCAGUGAAAACUUGGACGAUGAGAAGGCACAGCGAUUUGUGAAAGCUGUGGAGGAAUUCAUGCGUCUGUUGGGUGUGUUCGCAGUGGGAGAUACUAUUCCUUGGUUGAGAUGGCUUGAUUUUGGAGGCCAUGAGAAGGCAAUGAAAGAAAUUGCCAAAGAAAUAGACAGUAUUUUAGGUGAGGAGUUAGAGGAACAUAGACAAAAGAAGGGUUUGGGUGAGAAGGUUGAUGAAGUUCAAGAUUUCAUGGAUGUCAUGAUUUCCUUGUUUGAUGGAAAAACUAUUGAUGGGAUUGAUGCAGAUACCUUGAUCAAAUCCACUGUGCUGGUAUGUAUAUGUUUAAUUUACACAUUACAGUCCUUUCGAGAUGUUAAACUUCAACAAAAUUAUCCAUACCAAUAUAACAGUUCUACGAUCAGAUUUUAUAUAUUUUCCUUCAUUACUUUUGGAAUAAAAAUACAUAUUUUACUUCGUCAGUUUAUCAUAAGUGGUAUGAAAACUGAUGUUAAAAUAUAAGUUGUGACACUUUAGUUGAUGAUGUAUAACCAUUACAAACAUCAACUUAUUUUCUCACACAACCAAGUUUUUUUGUUGGCUGGUGUCUUGUGUUUUAGUAAUCAAUGGAACACUCUUAAUUUAUUUUCUACUUUUCUACUCAGAUUUGGUUUUUGAGAAGAAAAAAAAAACUUUUAAAUUCUACACCAGUAUAGAAAUUUUUACCUUUUACAUCUUACAAAUAUAUAAUGGUAUUAUACAAUUGAUGCAGGUAUUUCCUAGAAAAUAAAUAAAAGUAAUUUCCUUAGUUUCACUAAUAUAUUUCUUUUGGAUGACUUAUGUGAUUUGCAGACAGUGAUUUUAGGAGGAACUGACACAACUAAUAUUGUUCUUACAUGGGCAAUAUCUUUGAUAUUGAGAAAUCCUUCUGUACUGGAAAAAGCUAAAACCGAACUAGACAUUCAAAUUGGGAAAGAAAAUCUGGUGACUGAGUCGGAUAUAAGUAAGUUAACAUAUCUUCAAGCCAUAGUCAAAGAAACUAUGAGAUUGUAUCCUCCUGCUCCUCUUUCGGGACCUCGUGAAUUCACAGAGAAUUGUACUUUAAGUGGUUAUAACAUAGAAAAGGGAAGUCGUCUAAUUACAAAUCUUUGGAAGAUUCAAACAGAUAGCAAUGUUUGGGAAGAGCCGUUGGAAUUCAAACCAGAAAGGUUUCUAACAACUCACAAAGAUGUUGAUAUCAAAGGUAAACAUUUUGAGUUAUUACCAUUUGGAAGUGGUAGAAGAAUGUGUCCAGGAGUAUCCUUUGGCCUUCAAAUGGUGCAUUUUAUUCUUGCUACUUUUUUACAUUCUUUUGAAAUUCUAAGUGCAUCACCUGAUCCUAUUGAUAUGAGUGAAACCUUUGGAUUAGUCAACACCAAAACCACUCCACUUGAGAUUCUUAUUAAACCACAUCUAUCUUUUACUUGUUAUCAAAACCUCUAAUCCUUGUGUCAACUACAUGAUCACAUUGGAUUUUUCUUCCAAGUAAUUUUCUUUCUAUAGUUUGUUCAAAGUACUUGUUGUUAUCUUUAUCGUUUGUGUGAUAAAUUAUUUCAAAAUGAUGUAUACUUAUUAUCUUUGUAUUUCUGUUCAUAAUACAUUUGUGGCUUGUUUAUGUAAUUUCAGCUCUUUUUCUCAUAAACCAUUGUGCUAUCAAAAAUUUGGGUUAAAUUAAAUAAAAAAUAAAAAUAAUUCUUCCAUAUGAAAAAAAAAAAUAGACAAAAAAUAGUAACGAAAGAGUUAUUUAUAGUUUAAAAGGAAUCGAUGAAAGAAAUUUUAUAUUAAAAAGUGUUCUUUUAUGUUAUGUUUUGAUUACGUAAUUUAGAAAAAUAAUUUAUUUAUUUAAAAAAUUUAAAAUUUUUUAGAUUUAACUAUACAUUUGAUUCUUAUAUUUACAUUUGAUUCUCGACAAAUAUUGACUAAUAUGUCGGUAAAAUUUAUUAAUAACUUUCUUUUUUAAAAUUGUUGAUCAUGAUAAUCCGUCAAUAAAUUCAAAAUUUUCUUUUAUGGUUUGUUAUAGCAUACUCAUUACAUUAGAUCUUAUAUCAAAAACAUUUUCUUUCUUUCUUUUGCAUUUUAAAAUAUGUAAAAGUAUUAUAAAUUUUUACUAUUACAAAAGUAAGUGACAAUAUUCUAACAUUAGUUUAUAGUCUUUCAAGGAAUUUAAAUAUGAACACACUUUCUCGAGUUUUCGAAAUGAAUAGUAAAAAGAAUGAAUAAUAUCAUACGCAUAAAGUUCAAUCUUGAGUUGGCGUCCUUUUAAGUAUGACGCAAAGCUUUUAAGUCAUGAAUCAUGAAAUCAUUACACAAGAUAUUCUUAUUAAAACACGUCUAUACGUAGAUUAUGACCAAAUUAAUUACAUUGCACUCUUUAUUAAUUAAUUACAUGGUAUUGAAUGAAAAAAAGUUGAAUUAUUUACAAUAAAAAUUCAACUGUAAUAUUUCAUAAUUUAGUUUUACAAAACCGAAUUUUCAAAAUUAUAGUUCAGUUAAUUAUUUAUUAUUUUAAAAUUAAUUUUUUUAUACUUUUUACUUAUUUAAAAGUCUUUAAAAUUACAAUUCAAUUUUGCUACUACUAAUUUUACCAUACUUUGUUUAGAAUUGAUUGGUGGAAUUCGAUUGACUUUCUAUUGGAGUUGACUUGUAGAAUUUAAUAAAUAUUUUAUAAGAGCUAACACAGUUGAAUUUCAAUUGAGAUUAACUUGACCAAGUUUUGGUUAUGCCCAAAUCGAUCGAAUUUCAUCAAUUCUUGUCCAAGAUUGACUUAACCAGAUUCAAUCGAUUUUCAGCCAGGACCAUCCAACCAUUUGUGGUUGUCCCACCAAAUUCCAGUGAUUUUCAACAAGGCCUGAUUCAAUCGAAUUCAACGAAUUUUGACCGAGACCAAAUCAAUUAAGUUUCAGUCAUGGACAUCUUAGCUGAAUUUCGCCAAGGAAAAUUAGACUAAAUUUGGUCAAUUUUCAAUCAGGAUCGCCUAGAUCGAGUUUCAGAUGUGGUAGUUUCGAUCAAAUUCGGUAGAUUUUCGACUAGGGUUGACUCAGUCAAAUUUCGGUUGAGACCGACUUUAUUGAGUUUUUUUUAUGACUUCUCGACCUAAUUAAGUUAAUUUUGGGUUCGAACUGACUUGAUUGAUUUUUGACCGAAACAACACCUUUUGAAUUUGAUCAAAUUUCGGUCUCGACCUAUUUCGAUUAAGUAAAGACAAAUAUUUUUUAUCUACUUAGUUAAUUUUUAUUUUUUUCACGGUUUUUAAAUAAUAGUUCAGUUCAAUGGAUGUUUACAUAUUUAUAAGCAUAUAUAGUUUAUAGUUUCUCAUUUUUUUUUGUAAAGAAAAGCAUUGUGUCAAUAAGCUAAUUAAUUUACUUUUAAUUCAUAAAAAAUAAUAUAAGUGGUUUAGUUUCUUAUCUCCAUGUAUUUAUUUAAACUUUAUAUUCAUAAUAAUUAGAUUUUUAAUAAUAGGUAUAGUUUGUGUGUAUUUUGUAAAGUGUAUUUUUUAUUAUAAAUUUCCUGCUUUGUAUUUUUUUUAUUGUUUUGACUUUUUAAUAACUUUUCAUAUAACAAAUUAAAGGUAGGCUUUUGAGAUGUUAAGAUGUGAAAAAUUAUAGUAAUUCCUAACAAAUUUUUUUAAUAUAAAAAUGUAUAAUUAAUUUAUAAAUUUAUCUAAAUUGAUAUCUAAUAUUAGUUUCCAAAAUUUUAAUUUAGUUUCCAACUUCUCUAAUUUAAUUAUAAGAUCUCCGAAGAAAAAACGUUUCAUCAAUAAGCAUCAUCGAUUUAAGAUAUAAAUCCUUGAUAUUUCGGUAUAAGAUAUUUACUUUAUUAACAAGUUGAUAUUAGAUUCGCGCUCUUUAUAUAAGCCAUCGAAUUUAGAUUUUGAAUAUAAAAAGACUUAAUAGGAAUAAGAGGUUUUGCUUUUACAGAAAUUAAUUAUUAGUUAAUGAGUAUAUAAAUUGUUAAUUAUUACUUGAAGUAUCUUUAAUAUCUUAAGAAAACGAUAUUUACUUCAACUUCUUUUAAAGGUGAGAGAUAAGGUUGGGUGUUGAAAUAUUUUUCUUAAGUAAAUUCAGCAUCACCCACUAACCUAUAAUAAUUAUAUAUUCAACUUCUACUAAUUUUUUUUAUCACUACCAGAAACUUCAUAUAUAGUACUUUUAAAAUGAAUUAUUUGGUUUGGACUAGUUGGUAACGAGUAAAUUUAAGUUAACUCACUUGUUAAUAAUUUAUAUUAGAAUCUUGAAUAGAUAUAUUUACGUUAAGAAGAUUUAGAUUUAAGGUUUUCACUUUUUCUAAUAUAGAUUAAAAUCUACGAGUGAAUUGGUGAGUCAAUUAAAUCAUUACACUGGUUUAACUCAGAUAAAUCAAGUCCUUAAUGGGUAUGGUUCAUUUUGAUUAGUGUCAAAAAUUAUAAUUUCUUUAAAACUCAAUCAUGUGAGGUUUCCCUUAGAGUUUAACUCAGUUUUAUAACACUAACUUAAGUUUAGGAUCAUCGCUAAAAGAUUUAGCACGUCUAAACAAAGACCACUUAACCUACCCAAAUUAAUAAUUCAAUAAUUAACAUCAACUUUCUAUACCAAACAAAAAUGUAGCACUUCACUUAGUUAUCAACUUCGCCUUUUCCUCAUCACUGUAGCAAUGAAUGCUCUAUUUAAGGGAAGCCUCCUACUCAACAACAACAUACAACCUUAACAAAAGCUCAAAUGGAUUUUGUUCUAAAUUACCUGAAUUCCACUACCGUUGGACUUCUGUCUCUAAUUCUCUUCUGUUUAUUUCUGUAUAAUCCCUUCAAAUUUCGACAAGGUAAAGAGGCUCCCAGAGUUGCAGGAGCAUGGCCAAUACUUGGUCACCUUCCAUUGUUGAGUCGUUCAAAGACACCCCAUAGAACUUUGGGUGAUUUGGCUGAAAAAUAUGGACCCAUCUUCACCAUCCAACUUGGUUCAAAAAAGACUUUGGUAAUCAACAACUGGGAAAUAGCAAAGGAAUGCUUCACCACAAACGACACGGCGGUUUCCUCUCGCCCCAAGCUUCUUGCCAUGGAACUCAUGGGCUACAACAACGCCGUGUUUGGCUUUGCACCCUAUGGUCCCUAUUGGCGCGAGCUACGAAAGAUUACAACUUUAGAGAUCCUUUCCUCUCGUCGAGUGGAACAACUGCAGCAUGUUCGAGUCUCAGAACUUCAAAGCUCGAUCAAAGAGAUGUAUAAUCUUUGGUGUAGCCAAAAGGGUGAGUCUGGCUAUGCCUUAGUGGACCUGAAACAAUGGUUUUCUCGCCUGGCUUUCAACAUGGUCCUUCGCAUGGUCGUUGGGAAGAGAUAUUUUGGCGGUGAAAACUUGGACGAUGAGAAGGCACAGCGAUGUGUGAAAGCUGUGGAGGAAUUCCUGCGUCUGUUGGGUGUGUUCGCAGUGGGAGAUGCUAUUCCUUGGUUGAGAUGGCUUGAUUUUGGAGGCGUUGAGAAGGCAAUGAAAGAAACUGCCAAAGAAUUGGACAGUAUUUUAGGUGAGGAGUUAGAGGAACACAGACAAAAGAAGGGUUUGGGUGAGAAGGUUGAUGAAUUUCAAGAUUUCAUGGAUGUCAUGAUUUCCUUGUUUGAUGGAAAAACAAUUGAUGGGUUUGAUGCAGAUACCAUGAUCAAAUCCACUGUACUGGUAUGUAUAUGUUUAAUUUACAUAUUUCAGUCCUUUCGAGAUGUGAAACUUCAACAAAAUUAUCCAUACAAAUAUAACAUAGUUCUGCAAUCAGAUUUUAUAUAUUUUCCUAAAUAAUUUUAGAAAUUAAAAUACAUA
rnacentral:lncRNA from 1 species